rnacentral:rRNA from 1 species
AAACGGGUGCGGAACACGUACGCAACCUUCCUUUAACUGGAGAAUAGCCCCUCGAAAGAGGGAUUAAUACUCCGUAACAUAUUGAUAAGGCAUCUUGUUAAUAUUAUAGCUCCGGCGGUUAAAGAUGGGCGUGCGCCUGAUUAGGUAGUUGGCGGGGUAACGGCCCACCAAGCCUGCGAUCAGUAACUGGUGUGAGAGCACGACCAGUCACACGGGCACUGAGACACGGGCCCG